UUUGGUGGCGAUAGCGAAGAGGUCACACCCGUUCCCAUGCCGAACACGGAAGUUAAGCUCUUCAGCGCCGAUGGUAGUCGGGGGUUUUCCCCCUGUGAGAGUAGGACGCCGCCAAGC
rnacentral:rRNA from 1 species